AUGGCGCCGACGGCCUCAGUACGUCCAGCGACACGCCCGCCGGCCACCUCCCGCGCUUCUAUUAACCGCAGCCGGAAGCCGAGCGGCAGAGGGGGCAGCCUGGCUUCCGGACUGGCGGCGGCCUGCGCGGCAGGUGUGUGGCUGCGCGCUGGCGCCGCAGGGCGGGGCGCUGUAACCCCUGGAGAGCCCGUCGCGGGAGCGCAAGGAGCUGGACGGACUCUGGAGCUUCCGCGCCUACUUCUCCGACGACCGGCGCCAGGACUUCCAGGAGCAGUGGUAGCGGCCGCUGCUGCGGCUGGAGCGCAGUGGCGCAAUCCUAACUUGGCCCUCGAGAAGUCGGCGGAGGCGUCGGCGGCAGUGGCCCUGGCCAGCCCGGCCCGGCCACAGGGAGGUCAGCUGCUGCGACGGCGGCCCCGGCCCGGCCGGCGGGAAGUCAGCGGAGGCGGCGGCGGCGCGGUCAGAGUGAGUUUCUUUGGAGAAGCCGUGGUGGCUUCAACGUGAUGGUGGAGGACGAGACAGGUCUCUGCGGCUUUUCUGGGUUUGCCUGCCCAGCUACUCCAUGCCACGAGAAGGAAGAGCUAUCUGCUGCAUGCUGGAUGCUGGAGCCUGGAGCCUGUGGCACCACGGCUUGCCUCGUUGCAGUGGGUGGCAGCGAGGGAGACUGCACAGCGCUGGAGAGGUAGGAGCAUGGCUGGCUGCCACCAGGGCAGGGACGGGUGCAGAGGUGGCCAGGUGGCAGCCUCUGAGGCGACCUUGGUCCCUGGGUCCCCCCCCUGCUGUUUAUGGCAGGCAGAGCUGGGGUUGCCACUGCUUCUGAUGUGCCAUGUGCAGGUGGCAGCUACAGUUGUGCUGUAGGGUGGCAGUGCUGGUUUCUGUUCUUCUGUUCCUCUUUGUCCCUGGUCCAGGGCGCUGGUUACCCUAUAGCCACUGGGAUGGGGCUGGGCACCAGUUCCAGUCCUCCUCCUGCUACGGGGCCUGAUUUAGGCCCCGCAGCAGGUUCUGGCCCUUAGGUCCGCGUUGCUGGAGGAAGCGGGCAGGAUCAGGGGUUGCCACCACGCUGCCGAAUGCUAUCUCUAAAUGGCAGGUGCAGCAGAAUGCACAGGAGGCUGCAGGGCUGGUCUCAGACAGCCUGGGAGUCGCCCAGGGCACCUCCCCGCACCCUAAGAUCUGUGCUUCCUUGGCCCAAACCCAGAGUGUGGGGUCGCGGGCUCUGGGCCCACUGCAGCACCCAGGUUGAGUCUGAGCGCCGGUUUUCAUCACCCUGUAGCUGCACUACCAACUGCCUAAGUUGGGCACCAUGGUGACAUCUGUCCCUGGGAUUCCUGCUGCUGGUGGGGGAGGACAGGGCCAGGGGUUGCCACUGAUACUGACUUGUGCCAUUUCCAGGUUGCAGCUGUGGCUGAGCCCAUGGCAGAGUCUUGCGGGGCUGCUUCCUAAGGGCGUGGAGGUCAGGGAGUGUACCGCCAUCCUACCCUAGGGUCCACUUUUCCUUAGGCCUGGCCCAGAGCACAGGUUUGCAGGUGCUGGGCACUGUGCAGCCACAGAGUUGUGACUGAGAGCCUCCUGCCCUCCCGCACCUGCGGGCUGACUGUGGCAGUAUCCGGUCCUGGGUUCCAUGCUACUGGAGUCAAUGUCCAGGGAUGCCACCGCUGCUGCCCCAUGCCAUGUGUAGGUUGCUGCGGCAGCUGAUCCCAGACCAGAGGCUGUCAGAGCUGGUCCCAGAUAGCCUAAGGGUCGCCUAGUGCACCAGCCAAAGGGUCCGUUCUUUCUUGGCCCACACCCAGAGUGAGGAUUGCAGGCUCUGGGCACUGCACCACUGGCAUGGGGAGACAAGUGGUGGGGGGCUUCCUUACCUGCUCCACACAAAGCCCAGGUUGUCAGGAGUCAGCUCUCUCUCCAGCAUGCCCCAGUCUCAUCCUUGGUCAGCCCAGAGCACAGAGGCACAGAGCCCCAGUCUCAUCCUUGGUCAGCCCAGAGCACAGAGGCCCACUCAGUCCUGACUCCAUAUCUUAUACCAGGUAGGCACAGAGGCACAGAGCCUCAGCAGCUUUGUCUGUGGCUGGGUUAAACUGGUGCCCGCCUCAUCUUGACCAUCUGCCCAAGUGGGCACAGCCUCCAGCGUUGCUUCCCAGACAGCUCCAGGGUGCUUCCUCCCUGGCCCCUUCUUCGGACUCCCAGUCCCAACAGCAAACCACCCCCACCCCAGGCAGCACAUCUGUUGCCCGUGGGGCACUUACUGCUUGGCCUCCCAAAGUGCUGGGAUUACAGGCGUGAGCCUCUGCGCCCAGCCUGUGGGAACUGUUUUAAAUGUCGGCUGAGAAGAGGAAACAUUGAAAAGUGGCAGGGAAACAGCAUUUCCUGACCGCACACCCCACACCAGGCAUGUAUCAAAAGCUCCGCUAGAAAAACAUGUUCAGAGAGGUCUGGUAACUUGCCUCAGGUCACACAGCAAGUGAGAGGCAGUGUGGUAGGCAAACCCAGGCCUGCUGGGCUAGUUUCUCCCCCUGUCACGUGGACCUGGGCCACCUCUCAGGCACAGCAGAAACCCACCCAGGAACACAAACCUCGAGGGCUGA
rnacentral:lncRNA from 1 species